UCCCUGGUGGCUCAGAUGGUAAAAAGAAUCUGCCCGCAAUGCAGGAGACCCAGGUUCGAUCCCUGGGUUGGGAA
rfam:Ovis aries breed Texel chromosome 8, whole genome shotgun sequence.